rnacentral:ncRNA from 2 species
GCUGGUGCUUUAUAAUAGAUACAGGGAAACCUGGGCGGUAAUUGUGCAGUUGCAAAGCAUAUUUACCGUUUACAUA